AAAAGUGGGCUCAGCCGGUUUCUAAAUGACCCACCCAUCGGUCGCAACUGGUGUCUCAAAUCAUGUAUUUCAAGGCAACAUCAAACAGCUAAGAACGCAAGGAAAAUAUGUCACAAACAGCCACCCUCCCUUCACCGAUAAGGACGGUCGCAACUGGUGUCUCAAAUCAUGUAUUUCCGUGCUUCUACAGCUGCAUUGCUUGCUGUUUGGGGUUUUAGGCUGGGUUUCUGUACAGCACUUUGAGAUAUCAGCUGAUGUACGAAGGGCUAUAUAAAUAAAUUUGAUUUGAUUUGACAUGGCCCAGCUCCAAAACUCCCAGGCUCUGAAUCCCGGUACACCAAGCGGUCUGGUCCAGAAAGUGUGGUUCAAACUCCAGUUACAUCUGGGUCGAAUUGGAAAAGAGGGGAACAGACAACUAAAGCCCAACGGACUAAGAUACGCCACUCUCGCAUAUAACGAGGCCACAAAGAAUCAUCUGGACCCAAGGGAGACACCGGUGCCAAUAUAUCCAACAAACACCGUUUUCUUCGGCAUUAUCACUUAAGUCAGCUGUGGUGGAUAAAGUGAAUGUAUGGUUUCAUUUAUUAAAAUCAGCUCAAAUUAA